GAUGAACGCUGGCGGCGUGCCUAAUACAUGCAAGUCGAGCGAACGGACGAGAAGCUUGCUUCUCUGAUGUUAGCGGCGGACGGGUGAGUAACACGUGGAUAACCUACCUAUAAGACUGGGAUAACUUCGGGAAACCGGAGCUAAUACCGGAUGAUAUUUUGAACCGCAUGGUUCAAAAGUGAAAGACGGUCUUGCUGUCACUUAUAGAUGGAUCCGCGCUGCAUUAGCUAGUUGGUAAGGUAGCGGCUUACCAAGGCAACGAUGCAUAGCCGACCUGAGAGGGUGAUCGGCCACACUGGAACUGAGACACGGUCCAGACUCCUACGGGAGGCAGCAGUAGGGAAUCUUCCGCAAUGGGCGAAAGCCUGACGGAGCAACGCCGCGUGAGUGAUGAAGGUCUUCGGAUCGUAAAACCCUGUUAUUAGGGAAGAACAUAUGUGUAAGUAACUGUGCACAUCUUGACGGUACCUAAUCAGAAAGCCACGGCUAACUACGUG
rnacentral:rRNA from 1 species